rnacentral:lncRNA from 1 species
GUCGUAUGUGAGGGAUCAAUACAGUUGGGUAGCAGAUACAGGCCUUCCCCCCCCCAUGAAGCAAACGCAUCGAUGUUGCCCAGUGAGAGACUGGGUACACAUGUGAAGCCUGCCUAUGCUUUCUGUCCCCUUGACAGGUGAAGUUGCCAGGCAUGACUGUGCGUCACCCAGGAGACAAAGCCCCACCCAUAAAGUGGUGACUCGAGGCGCAAGGGAGUCCGGCGAGAAGUGUGGCGGGCCCAGGUUGCUGCCAGUUCUUUUAGGAUCACCGAGCAGGGUACGCCUUCCCCUGCCCCAAGAUGUGUCAUGGAUUUCGGCUUUCCUGGGACUACCUGAGUGCCUGUGACGUUGCCAGGUAUGACUGCCUGUCACCCAGGAUACAAAGCCCUGCCCGUGAGGUGGUGAUUCAAGGUGCAAAGGAGUCCAAAAGAAGUGUGGAGGGCCCAGGUUGCUACCUCUACUCUUUGGGUCACUGAGCAUGGAAUGCCUUCAGCUGCCCCAAGAUAUGUCAUGGAUUUACAGUUUCCUGGGACUGCCUGAGUAGCUGUAAGUUUACAUGGACUGUUCUUGCUGAGAAGCCUAGGAGCUCUGAGUUCCCCCAGCUGCUCGGGGACUCCCAGGUCACUUGCUCCUUCUGGGGGCUGGCCUUCCUUCCUGGCUAAAGUGUACAGCAAACCAGCAGGUGCUCAGAUUGAUGAUGGCACCCUCACAUGUGUUCCCUGGAAAAUCUAAACAAAAUGAGUGAGAAAUUGAUAUCAUCUCCUCAUCGAAACAAGGUCUAGCAUGUUGUCUCCUCUGGGGCUAAGGGCAGGACUAGUUAGAAGUGUGGGCAGCUUCAGUUGUGUCACACACAUGCAUAGAGCACUGGGGUCACCACCACUUUCGAGGCUCCUGUCAGAGGGUGGGCAUGUACAGAUGUUUG